GAUGAAGAACGCAGCGAAUUGCGAUAAGUAAUGUGAAUUGCAGAUUUUCAGUGAAUCAUCGAAUCUUUGAACGCACCUUGCGCUCCUUGGUAUUCCGAGGAGCGUGCCUGUUCGAGCGUCAUUUCACCACUCAAGCCUCGCUUGGUAUUGGGCAACGCGGUCCGCCGCGUGCCUCAAAUCGACCGGCUGGGUCUUCUGUCCCCUAAGCGUUGUGGAAACUAUUCGCUAAAGGGUGUUCGGGAGGCUACGCCGUAAAACAACCCCAUUUCUAAGGUUGACCUCGGAUCAGGUAGGGAUACCCGCUGAACUUAAGCAUAUCAAUAAGCGGAGGA
rnacentral:misc_RNA from 1 species